rnacentral:lncRNA from 1 species
UUUUUUUCCGUGAAAAUGAUCAGAUCUAUUAUAAAAGUUCAGUGGAAGUACAAAGCAUCUCAAAUAUAAUAAAAUUAUAUUGAGAUUUCAAGAUCAUCGAACGGCCACUAUUGCCAAUAGAAUGAGCCGCCGACGCGUAGCUCUCGUCGUUCCCCUAUCUGAGCCAGCUUGACCUUGUCGAUUACAGUUGGAAAGUCUUCAUGCACGUGCCUUAAGGACCAGGACCCCGAAGCCGCGGUCAUCUUUGUUGAACCCUUGCAUAUAUCUGAAGCAUCUGAUAGCUAGUCUCGCUACAUGACGAGAAACCCUAACAUCGUCGUUCCAAGGAGAUGUUAGGAGUCUAUGUCGGGGCUUCAUUGGCUACGUCCAGACGAACGAACUCGAGGAGGAUCGGAACACGAAAGACAAACUCAAAGAAGAAGUGCCGCCGCCCGUUCAAGCGCCGCACCUGCGAGGAUUAAAAAAAACUAACCUAAAUAAUUGAGGCGAAGGCACAGGACUUCCUCUUCCCUCCACCGGCCGCCGGAGCGGCGGGUAGAGGGGAGGCAAAUUCACAGGCUCUCUGGCGAAGUUUGGAGAGGAGAGUUUGCCCUAUCCGCCUAGGGUUAGGGGAAGAAAACGAGAGGAAGCCUUGCACCUGGCAGGUUGCGAGAGCCUUUCUAGAUAGAAGUAUUUUAAAAGACACGGUGAGCAUUCCAUCUAGGGUUUUAUUUACGAAAAAAUCAUGAGGUACAAAGCACAUCAAAAAAAUAAAAAUGCAUUGAGGUCUCUGAACCACAGAAUAAGCGUUGACGUGUCGAGACUUCUGUGCACAUGUGACUGUAAGGAUUGGCGCCCUAAAGUUGAAGUCGUCAUCAUUAAACCUUCGAAUUGGUCUGAAGAACAUGACACCAAAUAUCACCGUCGCGCACACACGACAAUAAACCCCAACCUAGCCGCCCCGUGGGGCCGGCAGGAACCUAUGCCAGAGCUCCGCAUAAUCUGUCCUGACGGAUGAACUCGUGGAGGGUUGGAGCUCAAAAGACUGACUCAGAGAUGAGGCAUCGACAUCCGUCAAGUGUCACUCUUGUUAGGACUAAAACCAUAUAUACUAACCAUAGCCAAGGCACUAAGAUUUCCUCCCCACCCCGGGUCGUCGAACCGGCAAAUAGAGGUGAGGCGAAUCCACGAUCUCACUAACAGAGAUCGAGGGGAGGAAGACUAUGCCCCAUUCGCUUUGUGAGAGGGGAAAGAAGAGGCUAGCGAUUGGUCAACAUUUCCUCUAGGUCUAAAAUGCCAUACUUUGGAACCAUAAAUUAGACAUUGAAUAUAAUCGAUAUGGCAAUGGAGAAAUCAUUAGCAACACAUCUCUAUUUAUGCUCCUAAGCAAUUUUGAGUUCUGGCCCGAGCCGUGGAAUAAAGAACAAAUAAAAGGUAGUGCAAAAACAACUACAAACUUGGGAACACGCAAUAGCAAAACAUGAAUCUGCAUCGGUUGGUUGUACUAAUGGAAAGUGGGAGAAAAUAAGAAAAAAUUAAUGGGCUUGCUUAGGACGUUUACACUAAAACUAUCUUAGCGGUAUCAUGUGGGAAAGAAAGAAAUGAAGAGAAAAUAAAAACUUGACUUCUCAUAGCUAAGAGUUGAUCUCUUAUAAGAAGAUAAGACAUAUCUCUCAUCCUGAAUUGUUCGAUGCCACAUGACAUUUACUACAAGCAUAUGCCUAAGUCCGAACGAAAGUUCUCUACACUCCAUCACUAUUGUUCAUUUCCUAAGAGCAAUAAAAAGUGACAAACCAGGAAUGGUGACCCUCCGCCUAAAAGACCGAUGUCAAAUCUCAAAGAGCAAGGAUGAAGUAGAUGGGGAGGAGGAGGAUGGGAGAUCUAGAAAGUCGUACUAACUUCAUAGAGGCUCGUAGGACGAAGAAAUAGUAGGAGAGGCUUUGGUAGAGAGCAAAGUUUUAUGCCUAGAGAGAAAAGUUUGAGAUGAUUUUGUCGAGGGAUGAGUUGGCAGAGACAAUGUGAAAUUGACAUUGAAGAAAGAGCACCGCUACACAUGUAAUAAAAUCGGUACGAUAUUUGUACUAACACACAAUAUUAACCAUCCAUGUUAGGAGUGCGAAGUUUGUGCGGACGGGGCAUUGGAGGACUUUAUUUAAAAUGAUUCAAAAAUGAUAUUUCUAAGUUUUAAAAAAUGAAAACUUAAACAUAUUUGUGGUGGGUCUGUAAAAUUUUGAUCAAAAUAUUAUGAUUUGCAAGCCGCACAAAAAAAAUCAGCCCAACAACAAAAAGAAAAUGGUGGCCCAUUUCCGUGUAUGUAUUUUUUUGUCUACGCGGCGUAUGAAAGUAUAUUGUUAUGAAACUUUUCGUGAACGUGUUAUAUAUGUAUUUGUGUAUGUAGAAUUUUUUAUAUUUUUUUGCAAUUUGGAAAUGCGUUUUUUUGUAAAGUCCAUCAAUGGCCCCGUCCUCCAUUUUCACUUUUCGUCCAUGUUAGCAUCUUGGGCCUACAACCAUCCAUCUGACCAUUGUAUGUAAAUAGGACACAAAGCAUAGUACAUGAAGUAAUCCCGUUCAAGAAACAGGCUGACUUUAUGGUGCGUAUGGUUCAUUCAAGGAGAUGAAGUAGACGCGAGAGAUGAUGGUAUGAUCCAAAUGGGAUGGAUGACAGAAGAAUCACUUUUGGGAAAUUAGAAGGACCGUGAUAUUGGCUUCCCAGAAUCACACGGAUUCUCCCACGGGUUCGGGGUAGCGCACAUUUCAUCUGGCAAGAGUGUGCCUAUUGCGCUUGGCCUGGCAUUUGUGUCACAAGGGGAAAUAUGUUUCCUUAGUGUUCCAAAAUACUAUCUUUUAUUGAAUUUUGCAUUUUAAAUUUGAGCCACUAAAUUGAAACAAAGUUGAGUUGUGUAACAGUAGAAACAGAAAGGGGAUUUAUAUGCCAAAAGUAAAAACACGACAGGAUAUCAAACAUAUAUUUCAUAAUUGAACUAAGGGAAUAAAAUGAUGCUGAUUUAAUUUCAUGUCAAAAUGAUCAAACUUUUUGAAUUAGAAGAAUCCUAGAAGUCAAUUAUUUUGAGAGGGAAGUAGACAAGAAAAACUCAGUUGUUGCUUCAUAAGAAAGGCAAGCUUUGGGGGUGCUUGACGCCAAGUAUGAUCAAUCAUCAACAAGCCAUGAAAAUUGCUAAUACAGCAAUACUAAUAAUGUGCUGCAAUACAGGAAAUAGUUUGAAAUCUGCUAAUGAACUAAGAAGCGACGAUGUCCACAUGACCGUCCUCAUGACUGUAGUCCACUAGGUACUUCAGCUCGACACGCUUCGCAUAGCACCAUCCUACCACAUCUUAUGAUUCACAUAGUGCAACCGACCCUAGUACAUCUUAUGAUCCGAAUGAUACAGGUAGCUGCGUAAAUGGACUCAGAAAUAAACUUGGGCACGCUCGAGGGCCAAUCAG